rnacentral:lncRNA from 1 species
GAAAAGGCGACGCGAGAAGCAGAGAUAGAAGCUCCGACACUGAGAGAUAUUAAGUUUCCAGAAAUUCCUCGGCGACUUGCUGCUCUGCUUCCAAGAUGAUUUUAUUAUAUAAUAUUUUCCGCUCUUUGUACUCAGGAGAGCUUUUGUGCAGAGGAUAGUGAGAGCAGCUCAGCUCCACGCUGUGUGACCACACUGCCCCCUGCUGGAAGAACAGAGACAAGCUCAGCAUCAAGGUGGGCGCUUCUCCUGCCUGUUGCCCAAAUAUGACCAGAACCAGAACCAGGACCAAUGCUGAGUAGAACCGCUCUCCUGUCUGCGAAUAUCAGAGGGAAGAGGAGUGAAGAUGGAGGGUGAACAGGCUCACAUGGAGCUGCAGCACAGUUUACGGCGUCUCUGUGGACACAUGACUGAUGUCACAGCUGCUGACACAGAUAAGAUAAGCAGUUCAUGCAUCUUUUGUCUUUCUUUGUCUUAUUAUUCGUAUUGUUCUUUAUGUUGUUGUGGAUUUUUUAUGAUAUAUUUCUGACUUAAUGCCCCAUGUUUCAUUGUACAAACAGCUUUCUGAGAGGAAUUCAUAGAUAGAAUGUAUUUUGUAUUGAAAGUGUUAUUUUCUUAUUAAAUUAGGUGUUAAAUAGCUCAAUAUUCCAACAGUAAUCACUUUGUUAGUAACUCACGUCUACUCUUUCUUGCAUCCCUGCUCACUUUAUCCAAUCAGGACCAGAAGGAGGUGAUCCACUUUGUCUGUCAACACUCAGAAAGCAGGAUCCUCAUGUUCUGGUACCGACACCAGCAGUGACGGAGCAGGGUGAGAUAUUAAUCCCAGAACUCCUGAUGACAAACAGAGAGGAGUUGUGCACAUGUAGCAAUGUAGCGCUAACUGUUGUAGCUAACAGUAAGUUAGCUUACAGCAGCUUUAACUGCGUACAUGACGAUAAAACACGCUGAUUCAUUAUGAGUAUUAAUGUUGAGCUCUCAGCCACCAACUCAAGACAGUUGUAUGACUUUUAUUGCAGUCGGUAGAGUGCAUACCUCAGCCAAGGCCAGAGAGUCCCCUCAUGCAAUUCUGGAGACCAACCAACCAACAAAUAAACAAAUGGACACGGUGAAAACACGAAUCAGCUGAUGAAAAGUGAUUUAACACCACAGAACGCUCUAAGACGUGACUCAGCUGCUGCCCUCCUUCUUCUUCUUCUUCUUCUUCUCUUUGAUGUUCUUCUUUUAUGAGCAGCCAUCAAAUUAACAAUCGCCCCAAAAAAAGAAAGAAAAAAAAAAACAGAGCAGGAAUCCCUCGGCUAUCUUAUGCUGUGAUUUAAAUUUGUUUCAAGUCCCUGU